UGCUUGGAAAGUUCGGGCCUCUUAUUGGUUAGUAGGUUGCAAAAAAUUCUAACGAAAAAUGUACUCGAGCUCGCAAAAAUAAAAAAUUACAUACUUAUCACAUAAUCUAUUAAACUAAAAAUAAGGCACAUAAUUCAUCAACUCCCCUAGCAUUUCAUUUCACUUGUACACCUUACAACUACAUCACAGUGAUUCGAAAGUGUGCCUGAUAUUGAAAGCAAAAGAAAAGGAAUAUGGGAAUCGGCAGACCAGUAGCAAACAAAAAUAGCAACAACCAACAAAGCAAAGUAGUUUCAACACCUCAAUCUAAAAAUUCCAGCAACACGGAGAAAACUAGUAAAAAUAGAGAAGAAAUAGUCUGAAAAUAUCUCAUUGUUUUCUCUUUCUAGCUUUGAACUUUCUUCAACUCUCAAAAGAAACUCUCCAAAAUUAAAUUCUGUCAGUGUAUACUGAGUGUAUCCAUAGUGUAUAUUUCCUGUAUACUGCUGAAACUCCCCAUUCCUUUUUUCCCUUCUCCUCCUAUUUUCU
rnacentral:lncRNA from 1 species